rnacentral:rRNA from 1 species
AAACGGUGUCUAAUACCGGAUACGACAACCGACGGCAUCGUCUGGUUGUGGAAAGAUUUUUUGGUCAAGGAUGGACUCGCGGCCUAUCAGCUAGUUGGUGAGGUAAUGGCUCACCAAGGCGACGACGGGUAGCCGGCCUGAGAGGGUGACCGGCCACACUGGAACUGAGACACGGUCCAGACUCCUACGGGAGGCAGCAGUGGGGAAUAUUGCACAAUGGGCGAAAGCCUGAUGCAGCAACGCCGCGUGAGGGACGACGGCCUUCGGGUUGUAAACCUCUUUUAGCAGGGAAGAAGCGCAAGUGACGGUACCUGCAGAAAAAGCACCGGCUAACUACGUGCCAGCAGCCGCGGUAAUACGUAGGGUGCAAGCGUUGUCCGGAAUUAUUGGGCGUAAAGAGCUCGUAGGCGGUUUGUCGCGUCUGCUGUGAAAACUGGAGGCUCAACCUCCAGCCUGCAGUGGGUACGGGCAGACUAGAGUGCGGUAGGGGAGAUUGGAAUUCCUGGUGUAGCGGUGGAAUGCGCAGAUAUCAGGAGGAACACCGAUGGCGAAGGCAGAUCUCUGGGCCGUAACUGACGCUGAGGAGCGAAAGGGUGGGGAGCAAACAGGCUUAGAUACCCUGGUAGUCCACCCCGUAAACGUUGGGAACUAGAUGUGGGGGCCAUUCCACGGUCUCCGUGUCGCAGCUAACGCAUUAAGUUCCCCGCCU